GUAGGUGAACCUGCGGAAGGAUCAUUAUUGAAAUAAACUGAUAGGUUGUUGCUGGUUCUCUAGGGAACAUGUGCACACUUGUCAUCUUUAUAUCUCCACCUGUGCACCUUUUGUAGACCUGGAUAUCUCUCUGAGUGCUUGCACUUGGGUUUGAGGAUUGACUUUGUCUUUUCUUACAUUUCCAGGCCUAUGUAUCUUCAUAUACCCUAAUGUAUGUUAUAGAAUGUAAUAAAUGGGCCUUGUGCCUAUAAACCUAUACAACUUUCAGCAACGGAUCUCUUGGCUCUC
rnacentral:misc_RNA from 1 species